AGCACCGUAGCACAGUUGGAAGUGCGCCGGUCUCAUAUCGAUAUUUGAGUAAUUCGGAGGUCGCUUGAUCGAAACAAGCCGUUGCUA